rnacentral:rRNA from 1 species
GAGCCUGAGAAACGGCUACCACAUCCAAGGAUGGCAGCAGGCGCGCAAAUUACCCAAUCCCGACACGGGGAGGUAGUGACAAUAAAUAACAAUACGGGGUUCUUNNNNAUCUCGUAAUUGGAAUGAGUACAAUUUAAAUCUCUUAACGAGGAACAAUUGGAGGGCAAGUCUGGUGCCAGCAGCCGCGGUAAUUCCAGCUCCAAUAGCGUAUAUUAAAGUUGUUGCAGUUAAAAAGCUCGUAGUUGAAUUUCGGGGUUAGUAGGUUGGUCAUGCCUCUGGGAUGUACUGGUCUCACUGAUUCCUCCUUC